GAUGAACGCUGACAGAAUGCUUAACAUAUGCAAGUCUUUGGCGAAGCUGUGCUCGCACAGCCUAGCCAAGGCGGACGGGUGAGUAACGCGUAAGGAACUUGCCCUGCAGUCAGGGAUAACAGACGGAAACGACUGAUAAGACCUGGUAAAGUCAGGCGGACUCAUGUCCAGCCUGAUGAAAAGAGAUGCUGCAGGAGAGCCUUGCGUCCUAUUAGCUUGUUGGUGGGGUAACGGCCCACCAAGGCGAUGAUAGGUAGCCGGCCUGAGAGGGUGGACGGCCACAAGGGGACUGAGAUACGGCCCUUACUCCUACGGGAGGCAGCAGUGGGGAAUAUUGGACAAUGGGGGCAACCCUGAUCCAGCAAUUCUGUGUGCACGAUGAAGGUUUUCGGAUUGUAAAGUGCUUUCAGCAGGGAAGAAAAAAAUGACGGUACCUGCAGAAGAAGCGACGGCUAAAUACGUG
rnacentral:rRNA from 1 species